rnacentral:rRNA from 1 species
GGCAACCCUGACGGAGCAACGCCGCGUGGGGGAGGAAUGUCUGUGGAUUGUAAACCCCUUUUCUCAGGGAAGAAGUUCUGACGGUACCUGAGGAAUCAGCAUCGGCUAACUCCGUGCCAGCAGCCGCGGUAAUACGGAGGAUGCAAGCGUUAUCCGGAAUUAUUGGGCGUAAAGCGUCCGUAGGUGGUUCAUCAAGUCAGCUGUUAAAGAGCGGAGCUCAACUCCGUCGGAGCGGUUGAAACUGAUGAACUAGAGUACGGUAGGGGUAGAGGGAAUUCCCAGUGUAGCGGUGAAAUGCGUAGAUAUUGGGAAGAACACCAGUGGCGAAGGCGCUCUACUGGGCCGUAACUGACGCUGAGGGACGAAAGCUAGGGGAGCG